CUAGGCUAAUUCCCACCCUGCGACCGAUGUUCCCCUCUCUCUCCGAUUUUUUCGAUCCCCUUUUCUCUCCCUCUUUCGUCUUCCUCUUUCCUCCGGUUUACUGUGCGGCUUCGUUCGGCGAUCUCCGUCCCUUCUUCGACAGAUCUGGUGCCGCCGGAGCUCGGACGGCUACCUUAUCUUCCCCCUUGGCGCCAUCUGUCUCUCCGAAGCCGUUGAUCCCCUUUACGCUUCCUCUUUUCUCCGAUUUACUGUGCGGCUUCGAUCGGCGAUCUCCGCCCCUUCUUCGACAGAUUGUAAUAUACCGGACGAUUCGUAGCCGCCAAAUGAUGAAAUUGCUCUGAUGGCUUGGUCGGCGAUGAGGAUGAUGGUGGUUUCCGGCAGCGGCUUCGAUGUAACCGAGGUAAGAAAAAGGUAAGAGAUAGAGAUAGGAGAUAGAAAAAUGGGGUAGAGAGACAGAGAUAGAGGAUUGAGAUAGAGAUUAAAGAUAGAGAAAGAGUAGAAUUGGGAUAGAGAAAUAGUAGAGAGGAAGAAAGGGUUUGGAGAAAAACUUUUGGGGGAGAAAUAGACUAAUUCAUUUUCAUUCAUCGAUGCCUUGCAAUUACAUCCUGCUAACUAUAUAUAGCCUAUACAACUUGUACUGAAAUGUAAUUAAACUAUUUUAUGAGAUGAAACAGCAAAAGAGUAAGUUUGGAGCAUGGGCCUGAUGGGCCGCCAUUCUCUGGUGGACGGGCCCUCCGUUGGGCUUGAUCGGUCCAAGAGUAUUUGUAACCGGUUCAAGUGGGUAUCGGGUGGCCCCUCUCCGCACUACCCGCAACCCUGCGGGUCUUGGGUUCGCUAUUGCGCCCCGAUUCGAGCUCCCGGUUCGCCCAACCCAUACGUAACGGUAAGUGGGCGUCGGAUCUUGCCUUCUCCGCAUCAUCCGCAACCCGGUGGGGCUUGGAUCCGCGUUUUUCCUCCGCUCCGAGGUCCUUAAGCUUCGAUACGCCAGUCUUCUUCUUCGCCCCAACUCCAGGGAUUCCGUCGGACCUUCCAGCGCCCUCUCCGAGCUUUGAGGAUGCCCUAGCUCCGUCGUCCCACCAGAGCUCCGCCCGGACCACCUCUCGCCAGACUGCUCCGUCAAGCUCGCCUGAGCCCCUUCGAAGACGCUUCUCGUCAGACCCACCUGCCGCACCUUCUCCUCCCCAUCUGCUGCUGCCACUUAUUCUCCUCCUAGCUAGUAAAGCUGCUACCUUUACUCCUCUUAUACAGCUAACUACCAAUACUUGUUAUCUUCCAGGUUGUUACACAGAUCUGGUGCCACCGGAGCUCGGACUGCUACCUCUUCUUCCUCCUCGGCGCCAUCUGUCUCUCCGAAGCCGUUGAUCCCCUUUCCGCUUCCUCUUUUCUCCGGUUCACUGUGCGGCUUUGAUCGGCGAUCUCCGUCCCUUCUUCGACAUAUCUGGUGCCACCGGAGCUCGGACGGCUACCUCAUCUGACUCCUCGGCACCGUCUGACUCUCCGAAGCCGUUGAUCCCCUUUCCUAGCCCUCUUCCCUCCGCGAUUUACUGUGCGUCGCCGAUCGGGAACCUCCGCUUCCUCCUCCGCACCUCGUUGCCUCACCUCAUCCGCGCGCGCCUUCGUCU
rnacentral:lncRNA from 1 species